ensembl:lncRNA
GAAGAAUAUUGCCAAUAUAAAGCGUCUCCUUUUUGAAUGAAUUAAAUAAGCUGUCUUCGUGUUUUUUUCAGUGACACUGAGAAUGCUGGUGGGAAAAGGCUUCCAGAUUUAAUUGCGAGAAGAGGAAUGAUGCAGAUCAGAAGUGAGCUUUGAAUCUUUGACAGAGUUGAAGGAGAAGUUUAUUCGGCGAGGUUCCUGAGUGAAGCGAGCAUCAUAGGAGGUCUUUGUCACGAGUGAAAUCAGCCAGCAGCUGCAGGGGAAGCAAACGAACCUGUCGUUAUGACAAGCAAACAUAUACUAUUUGUCAUACACCAGGAGAAGAUAAACUCUCGUGUUUACUCUGCUUUUGUGGUGAGGAAGCUGCGGGGAAUUGAGGCAUUCUGAGCUAGUUGCCUGGGCAACCAGGAUAUGCUAAUGUCGGAUUGCCAUAAAAGAGAGGGAGAGAGAGAAUGAGAGAGAGGGAUACAGAGGGGAAAUGAGAGAGAGAGGGAGAGGGAGAAUCUGUGUAGUGCUCAGGGACGGAGAGGCCAGGGGAAACUGAAUUAAUGAGAUAAUUUCCACACAGCAAGGGUGGCAGUCAGGUCCAGCACUUCAUCUUCCCUGUGCCUCCACACUUUCACACUGACUUAGCCACUCAGUCACACAGAACCCUCCUCCAUUUCUAAAGUACUGUCAUUUCCCCACUGUGCUAAGCAUAGGGGCUUGGAGAGGAGAGAAAGAGAAAUAAAUAUUCCUGCCUAUUUGAAGCCAUCACACCUCGGCAGAUUUCAGAAGGGUACUGUGGGAUCGGCACAGCUGGGCUCCUGCAUUUCUGUCUGCUGCCCAUCAGCUGCGUUAUUUAUCCUGCCUCUGCGCUGUGGGCUUCAGUCAGCUUCUGCACGGCUCUGCCUGCUAUCAGAAGAAUCUAGGCCUAUCUCAAGGUGUUCACCCUGAAGAAAGAACAUGUGGAUGAGGACGUUGAUGGUUACUUGCUGAUUUAUUUGUUUGACCUUAUUAGUGGUCCUCUGGUAUUGGAAAGGGCAGUGGGCGUUACCCCAAGCUGAUUAGUGAGGCAGAGACCGCUCUGGAAUCAGUUACUCCACUCAUAUCACACUCUAAACUCUUCCGAGCUAAUGAGAAAACUGCUCUGAGGUCAUUACAUGAAUGACGUAAUUGUUUUUCACCAUCUGGCUGCUAGGUGAAGCGUGGCACGAGGGAGUUUUCAGCAGGUCACCCUGCUGCUCAACCUUCUUCCUGUGGUGUGUUUAGAAAUUCUCGACACUUGACCAAUCACAGCACUAGCGUAUGCAAGCGUGUUAACAGAUCGAGCUGUCAGUUUGAAGAAUAACAGCGGAGGGCCAAGGACUUCUGAUUCUUCAGCUGUGUAAAAAAAGAAAAUACUGCACUCUGAACACACACACACACACACCUGUUUCUGUAUAAUGACAGGAGAACAUGAUAUCAUAUAAACAGUACCCUCCAUAAUCUUCACAUUAUAUUAUAUAGGCCACAGUAAUGUUUGGGACAUUACCUGGAAGCUUCACAGGUGUUUGUGAUUAUUCAAGUGUGCUUAAUUGCUUCCCUGUAGCACAUAAUCUAUAAAGACGCUUUUAGCAUCGAGACUGCCUUUGCUGUUUGUCAAUAUGAGGAACAGAACCACACCUCUAAAACUCUGACAUAAUUAUAGUGUUAUUGCAAUUUCUCAAAUCAGCUGUUUGGCACAAUAAAUCCGACAAAUAUUUUUUUUUUUUAAAGUAU